AUACAAUUCUGAAUCUAAAAUAUAUUAACAUAAUCCAGUUUGUAUUCAUUUAUACAUUAUCACUUUUGGUGAUUCACAUUAUUUUGUACCUUUUGGUUUUUUCCUUUUUCUUGUCACUGUUGUUCUUUAAGUGUUUAUAAGGGAACACUUAUAAACCUAGGCUACUGUGUGUAUUAUAGCACUGACGGUUAACUGUUUGUUUUCUUAUGUAGCCCAUAGUGGCGUACACAUGACCCAUGGGGCCCCGGUGUGAAAAUUUAUCCGUGGGCCCACCCCGCGCGUGCCGGGCCGCAACACAUGGCGGUUGGCGCCUGGUCGCAGGGGUUACAGGGCUGCGACCGCGGUAUGUAUGCCAGUGCAUGCAG